UUCCGGUUGAUCCUGCCGGACCCGACUGCUAUCAGAGUGGGACUAAGCCAUGCGAGUCAACAUAGCAAUAUGUGGCAUACGGCUCAGUAACACGUAGUCAACAUGCCCAGGGGACGUGGAUAACCUCGGGAAACUGAGGAUAAACCGCGAUAAGUCACUACUUCUGGAAUGGGUAAUGACUCAAACCUAUAUGGCCCCUGGAUUGGACUGCGGCCGAUCAGGCUGUUGGUGAGGUAAUGGCCCACCAAACCUAUUACCGGUACGGGCUCUGAGAGGAGGAGCCCGGAGAUGGGCACUGAGACAAGGGCCCAGGCCCUAUGGGGCGCAGCAGGCGCGAAACCUCUGCAAUAGGCGAAAGCUUGACAGGGUUACUCUGAGUGAUUUCCGCUAAGGGAAUCUUUUGGCACCUCUAAAAAUGGUGCAGAAUAAGGGGUGGGCAAGUCUGGUGUCAGCCGCCGCGGUAAUACCAGCACCCCGAGUGGUCGGGACGAUUAUUGGGCCUAAAGCAUCCGUAGCCGGUUCUGCAAGUCCCCCGUUAAAUCCAGCUGCUCAACAGAUGGGCCGCGGAGGAUACUACAGAGCUAGGAGGCAGGAGAGGCAAGCGGUACUCAGUGGGUAGGGGUAAAAUCCGUUGAUCCAUUGAAGACCACCAGUGGCGAAGGCGGCUUGCCAGAAUGCGCUCGACGGUGAGGGAUGAAAGCUGGGGGAGCAAACCGGAUUAGAUACCCGGGUAGUCCCAG
rnacentral:rRNA from 1 species